CCAAUAGCGUAUAUUAAAGUUGUUGCAGUUAAAAAGCUCGUAGUUGAAUUUCGGGAUCAGUACGCCGGUCGUGCCUCCGGUACGUACUGGUGCACUGAUUCCUCCCUUCUGACGAACCAUCAUGCCAUUAAGUUGGUGUGGUGGGAAAUCAGGACUGUUACUUUGAAAAAAUUAGAGUGUUUAAAGCAGGCUCACGCUUGAAUACAUUAGCAUGGAAUAAUGAAAUAGGACGUUGAUCCUAUUUUGUUGGUUUCUAGGAUUGACGUAAUGAUUAAUAGGGAUAGUUGGGGGCAUUAGUAUUCAAUUGUCAGAGGUGAAAUUCUUGGAUUUAUUGAAGACUAACUACUGCGAAAGCAUUUGCCAAGGAUGUUUUCAUUAAUCAAGAACGAAAGUUAGGGGAUCGAAGACGAUCAGAUACCGUCGUAGUCUUAACCAUAAACUAUGCCGACUAGGGAUCGGAUGAUAUUAUUUUUAAUGACUCAUUCGGCGCCUUAC
rnacentral:rRNA from 1 species